rnacentral:rRNA from 1 species
CGUUCCAGAAUCCUUACGAGGCAGGCAGUGGGAUAUGCAAUGGGCCAGGCCUGAUGCAGGCAUGGCGGGGUAUGAGAAGCUUCGGUUGUAAAGUUACGUCAGGCAGCGAGGAGAAGUAUGGUUAAUAGCGGUAUCGUUUUCGACGUUAGCUGCAGAAGAAGCACCGCUAACUCCGUGCCCAGCAGCGCGUAAAUACGGAGGGUGCGAGCGUUAAUCGGGAAUUACUGGGCGUAAAGCGCAUGCAGGUGGUUUGUUAAGUCAGAUGUGAAAGCCCGGGGCUCCAUCCUCGGAAUUGCAUUGAAACUGGCAGGCUAGAGUACUGUAGAGGGGGGUAGAAUCUCAGGUGUAGCGGUGAAAUGCGUAGAGAUCUGAAGGAAUACCGGUGGCGAAGGCGGCCCCCUGGACAGAUACUGACACUCAGAUGCGAAAGCGUGGGGAGCAAACAGGAUUAGAUACCCUGGUAGUCCACGCCGUAAACGAUGUCUACUUGGAGGUUGUGGCCUUGAGCCGUGGCUUUCGGAGCUAACGCGUUAAGUAGACCGCCUGGGGAGUACGGUCGCAAGAUUAAAACUCAAAUGAAUUGACGGGGGCCCGCACAAGCGGUGGAGCAUGUGGUUUAAUUCGAUGCAACGCGAAGAACCUUACCUACUCUUGACAUCCAGAGAACUUAGCAGAGAUGCUUUGGUGCCUUCGGGAACUCUGAGACAGGUGCUGCAUGGCUGUCGUCAGCUCGUGUUGUGAAAUGUUGGGUUAAGUCCCGCAACGAGCGCAACCCUUAUCCUUGUUUGCCAGCGAGUAAUGUCGGGAACUCCAGGGAGACUGCCGGUGAUAAACCGGAGGAAGGUGGGGACGACGUCAAGUCAUCAUGGCCCUUACGAGUAGGGCUACACACGUGCUACAAUGGCGCAUACAGAGGGCGGCCAACUUGCGAAAGUGAGCGAAUCCCAAAAAGUGCGUCGUAGUCCGGAUUGGAGUCUGCAACUCGACUCCAUGAAGUCGGAAUCGCUAGUAAUCGUGAAUCAGAAUGUCACGGUGAAUACGUUCCCGGGCCUUGUACACACCGCCCGUCACACCAUGGGAGUAGAGUGCUAAUCGAAGCUACGAGGAGUAAGUCGUAACAAGUAACCAUGCUAGACGUGUGC